GUAUGGGAAUGGAUGGUCCGGGUUUUGGAGGAGUGAAUAGAAUUGGAGGAGGUAUGUAUAAGUAUUUGUUUNCUGCAUGUACUCAUCGCCAUUUUAAAGAAACUAGAAACUGUUGAGAAUUGUAGAAAAAAGUCAUGGUAUAUUGUUGGCUUGUGUUCUAAAGGCUGUUGGCAAACACUGAGCCUAAAUACACCCUUAAAAGAAGGUCCUGUGUUAAACUACCUGCUCAACAUGAAAUGAAGGAAGCGCUUACUGGUGACUUAACAUUUCCAGAAUGUACCGCUCAUCUGUAGCUCCAGUCAAGUUUCACAACUAUUCUCUGUCCCAUAGGCGUUGGGUUUGGUGGUCUGGAAGCAAUGAAUAGCAUGGCAGGCUUUGGUGGAGUUGGCCGAAUGGGAGAGUUGUACCGCGGUGCAAUGACUAGUAGCAUGGAGCGAGAUUUCGGACGUGGUGAUAUUGGAUUGAGUCGAGGCUUUGGCGACUCCUUUGGUAGACUUGGCAGUGCAAUGAUUGGAGGGUUUGCAGGAAGA
rnacentral:lncRNA from 1 species